CUUGUGCCACGCUUCAGUACCCAUAAAAAAAUUCAGUAUUUAGGGCUUUGGACCUGUGGAUUUGUUCUCGUUGCUUGGUGUAGGCUUCAAUUUUCUCCAAAGUUAGCUCCAUUUUUCAACUCCUAUUCUUUCGAUCCGUUUGUUAUUAUCACUGAGUUUGAAAGAAUGUCUAGGGUUUACGUUGGGAAUUUGGACCCUCGAGUUAAUGAAAGGGAUCUUGAAGAUGAAUUUCGCAUGUUCGGUGUUCUUCGCAGUGUCUGGGUUGCUCGAAGGCCACCAGGGUAUGCAUUUAUUGAGUUUGAUGAUCGCAGAGAUGCUGUAGAUGCAAUUCGUGCAUUGGAUGGGAAGAAUGGUUGGCGUGUGGAGCUUUCUCAUAAUUCUAAAAGUGGUGGAGGUCGUGGUGGUGGUCGUGGCCGUGGCCGUGGUGGAGGUGAUGACUUGAAGUGUUAUGAAUGUGGAGAGCCUGGCCAUUUUGCUCGUGAGUGUCGUUUGCGCAUUGGUUCUCGUGGCUUGGGAAGUGGCCAACGCCGUAGCCCCAGCCCUCGACGCCGUAGGAGUCCAAGUUAUGGGCAUGGCCGCAGCCCCCGAGGAAAAAGAUCUCCACGUCGCCGCAGCAUAUCACCUCGACGUGGUCGUGGUUACAGCAGGUCCCCUCCAUAUCGCCAUUCCCAUCGUGAUUCACCUUAUGCUAAUGGAGACUAAGCUUGGAACUUGCAGUGGAGAUAUGCAUGAUGAACCUGAUCACAUAUUUGCAGUACUGUAGUCUUUAUAGAAUCUGAAUAUGAUAGAUAGUACUAGUGUUUGUGUCAUGGCUCUAAGGUUUGUUAGGAACUUGGCUUUGGAUGGCUCUACAAAAUCUUUCAGCUGCCAAGGGGGCUGCUAUGGGUGCCGUUUUGUGUGGGCUAGCUAUCUUCAUACUUGGAGCAUUGUAUCGCCGCAUUACUGCAUCUUUAAUGCAUCCCAUCUCUGCUCUGCUUCUCUGCACCACAUCAUCUACUGGUCGUUGCCCCUAGAUAUUGUCAGCUUUGAGUCCCAUGUUGAAAAUGGUUUAUGUUCAGAAAUUGUUCUUCUGCAACAAAGCAUUUGAAGCUGUUUAUUGUGCUUCUCUCCCUGCUUUUCUGCUUCGUAUCAUCCACUAGUCUCUCGCUAUGCGCAUGUUCGGCUUGAAAUAGAUGUUGAAAUUUGAAUUGCAUAGAAACCUGUUAGCUCACGUCCCAUCUUUUGUGCCUCAACGGAAGUCAUCUGAUCUACUUCGACCUUUUCUCCUCUGCUAGCUGGUUAAAGGUAGCCCUAAUUCAAGGGUUAUUGUGUGGUAAUGAAUGGUUCAAAGUUAAUGGUAACAAUAAACAACGAAUGAAAUAAUGACCAUUUGUGGCUCCAAUUUGGUAGGUUACAGGGUCCAAACUGAGUUCAUUACUUCAUGGGAACCCUAUAUGGAAUGAUAUGCUGAGUCUGCUUGAAGGUUAGAACUGGAAGCAUUCCAAUCAUUGCCAGUUUAUUUUUAUUUAUUUAUUUAUUUAUUUUUGGUCUUGCAUUUCUACAUGUGAAUCAUUUUUAUCCACAGGUUUUGUACAGGUAAUAAAUUAUAUUGCUUUAAACCAGCCCCCCGUUAUUUAUUUAUUUUGGCGCUGGGAUUUAUACAAUAUAUUUUUUGUUUGCUUGCAAUUUGACUAGUGGGUGUGGACAUCCCAUGAUGCCUAAACAGCCAUUGUUGUAUAUUUCUUUAAUCGAGUGAACAUUUCAAAUGACAAGCCUGAAAAAUAUUGCAUUUAUUGGAUA